rnacentral:rRNA from 1 species
GAUCAUUACUGAUUUGUUGACACGAGCUGUUGCUGGUCCUCAAAUGUGGGGGCAUGUGCACGCUCUGUUCACACAUCCACUCACACCUGUGCACCCUCCAUAGUUCUAUGGUCUGGGGGACACCCCGUCUUCCUCCUGUAGUUCUAUGUCUUUACACGUACACCGUAGCAAAGUCUUAUGGAAUGUGCACCGCGUUUAACGCAAUACAAUACAACUUUCAGCAACGGAUCUCUUGGCUCUCGCAUCGAUGAAGAACGCAGCGAAAUGCGAUAAGUAAUGUGAAUUGCAGAAUUCAGUGAAUCAUCGAAUCUUUGAACGCACCUUGCGCCCCUUGGCUAUUCCGAGGGGCAUGCCUGUUUGAGUAUCAUGAACACCUCAACUCUCAUGGUUUGCCAUGAUGAGCUUGGAUUUUGGGGGUUUUGCUGGCCUGUGGUCAGCUCCUCUCAAAUGGAUCAGCUUACCAGUAUUUGGUGGCGUCACAGGUGUGAUAACUAUCUACGCUUGUGGUUGUCUGCUGAGUAACCUUUGGUGACAGAGGUUCGCUGGAGCUGAUAAAUGUCUUUCCUC